rnacentral:rRNA from 1 species
UGGAUUAAUACUCUAGGAUAGUGGACGUUACUCGCAGAAUAAGCACCGGCUAACUCUGUGCCAGCAGCCGCGGUAAUACAGAGGGUGCGAGCGUUAAUCGGAUUUACUGGGCGUAAAGCGUGCGUAGGCGGCUGAUUAAGUCGGAUGUGAAAUCCCUGAGCUUAACUUAGGAAUUGCAUUCGAUACUGGUCAGCUAGAGUAUGGGAGAGGAUGGUAGAAUUCCAGGUGUAGCGGUGAAAUGCGUAGAGAUCUGGAGGAAUACCGAUGGCGAAGGCAGCCAUCUGGCCUAAUACUGACGCUGAGGUACGAAAGCAUGGGGAGCAAACAGGAUUAGAUACCCUGGUAGUCCAUGCCGUAAACGAUGUCUACUAGCCGUUGGGGCCUUUGAGGCUUUAGUGGCGCAGCUAACGCGAUAAGUAGACCGCCUGGGGAGUACGGUCGCAAGACUAAAACUCAAAUGAAUUGACGGGGGCCCGCACAAGCGGUGGAGCAUGUGGUUUAAUUCGAUGCAACGCGAAGAACCUUACCUGGCCUUGACAUAGUAGAAACUUUCCAGAGAUGGAUUGGUGCCUUCGGGAAUCUACAUACAGGUGCUGCAUGGCUGUCGUCAGCUCGUGUCGUGAGAUGUUGGGUUAAGUCCCGCAACGAGCGCAACCCUUUUCCUUACUUGCCAGCAUUUCGGAUGGGAACUUUAAGGAUACUGCCAGUGACAAACUGGAGGAAGGCGGGGACGACGUCAAGUCAUCAUGGCCCUUACGGCCAGGGCUACACACGUGCUACAAUGGUCGGUACAAAGGGUUGCUACCUAGCGAUAGGAUGCUAAUCUCAAAAAGCCGAUCGUAGUCCGGAUUGGAGUCUGCAACUCGACUCCAUGAAGUCGGAAUCGCUAGUAAUCGCGGAUCAGAAUGCCGCGGUGAAUACGUUCCCGGGCCUUGUACACACCGCCCGUCACACCAUGGGAGUUUGUUGCACCAGAAGUAGGUAGUCUAACCUUAGGGGGGACGCUUACCACGGUGUGGCCGAUGACUGGGGUGAAGUCGUAACAAGGUAGCCGUAGGGGAACCUGCGGCUGGAUCACCU